rnacentral:rRNA from 1 species
UACAGAGGUCUCAAGCGAUUGUUCGGAUUCAUUGGGCGUAAAGGGUGCGUAGGUGGCGCCGUAAGUCGGGUGUGAAAUUUCGGAGCUUAACUCCGAAACUGCAUUCGAUACUGCGGUGCUUGAGGACUGGAGAGGAGACUGGAAUUCAUGGUGUAGCAGUGAAAUGCGUAGAGAUCAUGAGGAAGACCAGUGGCGAAGGCGGGUCUCUGGACAGUUCCUGACGCUGAGGCACGAAGGCCAGGGGAACAAACGGG